rnacentral:hammerhead_ribozyme from 1 species
AUCCAGCUGACGAGUUCAAAAUAUGACGAGACGUAUGUCCUGGAU